UACGUAGGGUCCGAGCGUUGUCCGGAAUUACUGGGCGUAAAGAGCUCGUAGGUGGUUUGUCGCGUUGUUCGUGAAAACUCACAGCUCAACUGUGGGCGUGCGGGCGAUACGGGCAGACUAGAGUACUGCAGGGGAGACUGGAAUUCCUGGUGUAGCGGUGGAAUGCGCAGAUAUCAGGAGGAACACCGGUGGCGAAGGCGGGUCUCUGGGCAGUAGCUGACGCUGAGGAGCGAAAGCGUGGGGAGCGAACAGG
rnacentral:rRNA from 1 species